GAUGAACGCUAGCGGCAGGCUUAAUACAUGCAAGUCGAGGGGCAUCAAGGUACACGAAAGUGUAUUGUUGGCGACCGGCGGACGGGUGAGUAAUAGGUAGGUAACCUACCUCAUACUGAGGCAUAGCUGGGAGAAAUUCCAGGUAAUUCCUCAUGAGGUUAUAUGACACAUGUGAUAUAAUCAAAGGUAUCGCAAGGUACUGGUAUGAGAUGGGCUUACUGACCAUUAGCUAGUUGGUGAGAUAAGAGCUCACCAAGGCGAAGAUGGUUAGGGGUUUUGAGAGAGAGAUCCCCCACAUUGGAACUGAGAUACGGUCCAGACUCCUACGGGAGGCAGCAGUAGGGAAUAUUGCACAAUGGGCGAAAGCCUGAUGCAGCGACGCCGCGUGAGGGAAGAAGGCCUUCGGGUCGUAAACCUCUGUCCAAGGGGAAGAAAAAAAUGACGGUACCCUUGGAGGAAGCCCCGGCUAACUACGUG
rnacentral:rRNA from 1 species